rnacentral:rRNA from 1 species
UACGUAGGGGGCAAGCGUUGUCCGGAUUCAUUGGGCGUAAAGAGCGUGUAGGCGGCCAGAUAGGUCGGUUGUGAAAACUCGAGGCUCAACCUCGAGACGUCGGCGGAAACCAUCUGGCUAGAGUCCGGAAGAGGAGAGUGGAAUUCCUGGUGUAGCGGUGAAAUGCGCAGAUAUCAGGAAGAACACCCGUGGCGAAGGCGGCUCUCUGGGACGGUACUGACGCUGAGACGCGAAAGCGUGGGGAGCGAACAGG